UCAGUUUAUUGCAAGGCUUUGAACGACAGACACAGCUAAUGACAGAAUAUCAUUGUCGUAUACGACUUGAUUUCAAUGGCAUUCUCUCUUCUGACUACUUGAUUGAAUGAUAUGAAUUUGCUAUCGUACAGUUCAACGGUUUGGCAUGGCUUUUCUUGGGUGUUCCCACCAGCAGGAAUUCGAGAAAAUGAAGGAGAAAGGCAGAACCUGGAGAGAAGAGGGGAGAGAGAGGAGAGAAAAAAGGAAAAUAGUAUAACUAAAUUCCUUGAUUGAAGACACAAAUAAUGGAUUGUGAGCCUUUUAAGGUGGAUUGUAUAUAUUUUGUAAACACUUAUUUAUGUAAGGUACUUAACUAAACAUGGACAUUAAGGGUAAUAAAUUUUCAAAUAGUGUACAAGAAUGAAAAAAUCCCUACUUAGAAUUUCAA